GUCAACCAAUUUUUCACUGGAUUUUCAACCCAUAAAAAGAAGCUGUAAAUUUCAGAAAAACGAGAGUGUAAUUUCAAGACAAAUACAUCACAAAAGUAUGAAUAAGAAAGAAAUGUGUUGUUUCAGCUAGGCAGGUAUUCCUGUUAAUUUAUGGAGCCGUUUGUCCUGCUUGUAAAAUUCCAUUUUUUAUGGAAUAGAGAAUUAUUGCUGCUGUAAGAUGUAACAAAAUGGCUAAAUGCCUGAGGGAAAUACAAUAAGGACAUUUGGGUUAGGAAUAUAAUAAUAUUCAAAAUAUUUCACUGGGAAGUUAGAAAAAGUUAUCCCAGUUUUCUUUUAAUAAAUUGAAGCAGAAUGCUAAUUUAAAGCUAAAUAAAUAUAACAAUCUGAAUGCUGCCAUGCACACCAAUAUAAUUUAUUUAAAAGAUUUGCCAAAUGUAUAUAACAAUGAUUAAAACCAUUAAUGUAUGUAUG
rnacentral:lncRNA from 1 species